rnacentral:lncRNA from 1 species
GGUUUGUUUUUUUGUUUUGUUUUGUUUUGUUUUUUUUUACAUAAGCUAACGAUCAGAAAAUUAGUUCUUAGUAGUAAGUGGGCAUUAUUCUGGAUCAUUUUCAUAUGUUCCCGCUCCCCUGCAGAGCCCUCAACAGUGCAGCUCCGAGGUUCUGCAUCUGAUAGCCAUAGUCAAUAACAUGGGUCAUGAUACCCACUCUCAGAACUUAGAAAAUUGUGUUACUUUUCCUUCCCUUCACAAAUCGCCAAUGAAGAGUGUACUAUCCGAAUUGUGAAAGACAGACAGUUCAGAAUUAGUGUCACUGUGCUAAAAUCAAAGUACCCACAGAGCUGUCAUCCACUCUGGAAUUGCAAAGGGAGAAUUCAGAUCCUAUCUCUUUCAUAUCUCCAGGGCUCUCAUCUGUCCUUGGAGUGUGACCACCUCUCUCUAGUUUCUGACUCUGUGGCCAAAACCCAUCUUUCCUGCUGCCUGUUUUCACACAUCCUUCUGCCUCUUACUUAUAAUUAUGUAGGAUUGCAUUUAGGGUGCACCUGAGUAACCAAAAAUAAUCUUUCCUUUUCAAGAUCCUUGAAUUAAUCACAUCUGCAAAAUCUCUUUGUACCAAGUAAACUAAAUUUCAUGGACUCCAUAGAUUAGAAUCUCCCCCCCACCCAUAUCCCCUCUCUCUGUGUCUGUGUCUCUGUCUCUGUCUUUGUGUGUGUGUCUCUCUGUCUCUCUCUGUGUCUCUAUGUCUCUCUCUGUGUGUGUGUGUGUGUUUGUGUGUGUGUUUUGAUUAGAUCAGGCUGGCCUUGAACUCCUAGAGAUGCACCUUCCUAUGCCUGCUGGGUGCUGGGAUUAGAGGUCUCUGCCACCACAGCCAGCUCCACCUUAUUUCUAGAAACAACAUGGUAUCUCCUACUGAACCUAGAGGUUUCUGACUUAUGUAGACUAGUUGGUAAGCAAGCUCUGGGAAUUCUCCUGUGUCUGCCUCCCCAACACUGGGGUUAUAGGUACACUCCAUGACCAUAAAAAUGUGGGAGAACUGAACCCAGGUCCAGAUGCUUGAGUAGUGAGCAUUUUACAGUCACUCCAGCCCCAAAGUUAGCUUCAUCACAGUCAUCGUCUUCAUCAUCAUCAUAAUCACCAUCAAAUUUCCAAAAUAUUUUUUAAUUCUUUGGAAAUUCAUGCUGUUUCCUACCUCUAUCUCCUCCUACAUGUCAACAAGUCCCCUCCCAAGGUCAUGUCCUUCUUCUUUAUAAUUUACUGAGACUACUUAAUGUUGCCUGUGUACACACAGCAAAUGAGUGGGCCCAGGGCAUGAACAACCCUACCAGUAGCAACAACCCCCACCCCCACCCCCACCCCCCAAAGGGACUGUCCCUCUCCCAGCAGCCUUCAGCUGCUGACAGCUCUUCAGCUAGGGGUGAAGCCUUGCGAACGCUCCCCUGUUCCUGCUCUUUAGCUGAAGAGUAGCUCAAAGACCAUGAAGAGAGAGAACAAAUGCAGUCAGCGACUGUCGGUCAGUUUUGUGUGUUAGUUUGACUUUGUGACCUAGGCUUUCUGUUUCUGUAUUCUGACCUGUAUGAAGAUGAAAACAAUCUUGUAUGUUUACAUGAGAAAAGUUCCCCUUAGGAAAAAGGUACACCAGACCACCUUUUAAAGACAUUUCUUUGUAUUUUGUCAUUAAAAAAAAAUCCUCUUUUAAAGAAAUUUAAAAUACCUGGACCAGCCUGAAGGAAAAAAACCCUCUCAGAUGUUUAGCCAUAUAGAAAUGAGUACUGUUUCUGAUUGGCUCUUUUAAUCAUGUCAUAUUAGCAUCCUCCCUAGAAUGUAAAAGAGUUGUUUAUGUCAUCCAUCCAAUGGACUUGAAACAUGGCUGCUAUAAUGGAGUACACAGCACACUGAACAUUCAGAGCUAUCAUUAAGGCUUAGAUGUUGUUUUCAUCUUCAGUUAAGGUUUGACCUCCAUGAACUGAGUUGGAUUAGGUAUAAAACGAGCUUAGUACAUAUUAGCAUUGACUUAGAAGGAGGCCCAUCAACUGUGAGCAUCUGCUCUGACUCUGGCAGGAUGUCUGUAAGCCACUUUCUAGCAUGUUUAGUAAACACAGAACUUCGGCUAUUUCCCAGGGAAAUACUAUUCAUGUACAGUAAAGUUUCAGACUUAAGGACUACUUAAUGCUAAUUCUCUCCUGUGCAUGAGUGCUUGUGUGUGUGUGUGUGUGUGUGUGUGUGUGUGUGUGUGUGUGUGUGUGUGUGUGCAUCUGUGCUUAAUUGUCAAGUGUCAACUUUCAAGAAUCAUUUUUUUUUCUUAGUAGUUUCUAGGGUUAGAACUCAGGCCAUCUGGCUUGCAAGGCAAGCAUUGUUACCCUGUGGGUUUUAAAGGUCACGGUGGAAAGUAUCACUUUAAAGUGUCAAAUCUGCUGCUAAACUAGGGAGUUUGUUAAACCCAGAAUUUCUUUUUCACCUAAGGCUUAUUACAAGAAACUUUGUAGUUUGUAAUUUGUAGAACACAGUAGUCAUAAAUAGGGGUCAUGGGUUUCCAAAUGUUUGGAGUAUUUGAGGACUUUCCUUGCUCUAGAAGACAUAUGGGUGUCUUCCACAGCUCAGGGCUGUGGUCACCUGCCCAAGUCUGUAGCUGAAAAGCAGUAGAUGUGAUGCUGGCAUCAGAAAAGGCCUCAUUCCAGGUAUCUCACAUCCUCAUAGACUCAGUGGCUUUCCUCUCCCUGGAGGGAACUGCGAAUUGAAAUCAAAUAAUAGUAUCAAGCGGAGUGAAAGUUCAAGAGAAGAGUGAAAGAGAUUUGUGGCUUUUUAGAAUGUAGCGUGAAACCCUCCCCACCUCUCCCACCAAGUGUCAUUUUGGCCUGAAGCUGAAUUAGUUCUCAUCUGAUUAAAUCAGAACCAAAUUCAGCUAUUUCCUAACUGCUGUGAAAUGCAGAUUUGAAAGAUGUGUCAAAAAAGCAAGAGCAUAAUCCUAGUAGGAAAUGGCUCUUUUAAAAGAGAAUAAUUAGCAUUUCAUUUAUAUCAUCAUCUUACGUCUGAACGUACAAAAGUAUUCAUCAUAUUACUGUAACGUGAUUAUUAAAUGCCUGGCCAGAAUAUGCAAAUUAACUUUAAAAUUUAGUAUUCUAAAUGAAUCCCACCAAGAUUUCCAUGAAGGAAUCUUAGGGGUGGAUAACACACUAUGCUAAUGUGCUUGAGUGUCUAACGACUUUGAGGACGGGGGGGACCUCAGGGUCAACUCGAGGAAUAGAAACACUGGAUACUUAAUGGGUACCAGAAGAGUUUAGGAAACAUGGAGGAGUGGCUUACCUAGAAACUGCCUGUUUGAAUUUAGGCAGCAGACACAGGUGUGCAUUUUUAUAUAUUCUCUCUACACAGUAUUUAUCCAUGCAAUACUAAGAUGCCAAAAAAAGAAAGAAAAGAUUUAUCAAAUUGAUUGAAGCUUAAAAGGCAGCUGGGUCUAAUGGCCCAAGCUUGUAAUCCCAAUACUAGGGCUGAAACAAGAGAAUUGCAAACUUAAAGCCUGUUUAGACUAUAUAUAGGGAGUUGCUGUCUCAGAAUACACACACACACACACACACACACACACACACACACAGAGUGACAGACAGACAGAGAGAUAGACAGACAGAGCAAGAGAGUACACUGAAAGCCAUUUGUUACUAGGUGAUUAUAUUUCUUUAGCUAACUUGUUUGUGAAGCCCUUUAAGACAGUGUCUCUUAGAGGACUGUGAGAACUUCAGCACUAUCCUGCAUUGUGAUUUAGGUAUCAUUUUUGCUGGGCUAUGACCCUCAACCUUUACAUAAUGGCUGGUUUAAAUGUUACUAUGGCGGUAGUCUGUGAAACAGAUCAUUGCCCAUAAGCUGAGGCCUCGUUUCUUCAGCUGAAGGCCUCAACAGACCAAGCUCUCCAGAAGAGGUGGGGAGGAGGGCUCUGUUCUGGGCCACCUCAGCAACACCGACUGCUGCCAAAUUUCUAGCUUGCUGGCCUGCCUCUCACACUUGAGAGUUAGCAGACCUCUCCUGGAAGCAAGUGCCUAAAGAGUCAAAUGAAGUUUAAUCUCAUGCACUCAGCUCUGCUCUCUCUAUGCUCCUUUGGUUCUGUUUUCAGUAGAAUCCUUUAUUAUCAGCAUUUGUUAGAAAGGCAGGGUCAGGGCUCCCUCUUAGACCUAUUGAGUGAAUGCAUGUCUCCAGGUCGUGACAAAUCUGCUGGAACAGCCCCUACCUCCAUUUGAUGUGAUGAACGACCAGGCUCCAGAGCUACCGCAGGUGACUAGAGAAGCCCCCACCUGAAGCUGAAGAGAUAAACGUUUCACUAGGUGGUUACUAAUGUGAUCUGGAUUCAUUCUUGUUGCUUUCAAGUAGAUGAAGUAGUAGUCCUGAGUGUCUUGAUGACUUUUGGACAGAUUAUCCCAAUUUCUUAAGAAAAAAAAAAAAUCCUGGAACAAUUGUAGGCAUUUGUAUGUGGUUCAAAAUCUUCGUAGGAGCAGUCAUCUCGUCUGUUAUAUUAUCCAAGAAAAGAUCACUUUGAGUAAUUUAAAAUUAAUAGCUAUUUUGCCAUAACUGUAGCUCAGAGCUCUGGCUUAUCUCGACACUGUCAGUUUUUCUAUGGUAAGGUGACACAUCGAAGUCAAAAGCAGAGACACUUGAUGUUUUAAUCAGCCUAUAAAAAAUGCACAGGCCCCUUGAGGCAUUUUGAAUAUUGAAAAUAGUCUUUCCUUAUUUGAUUAUAGUUUUUCAAAGCAUCUCAGAGACCCCUUGUUGUAUGUCUUUGCACUGAAAGAAAAUUUCAUAUAUAGAUGCCAGUUAAAUUACUAGGACAUAGUAGUGUGACAUAUACCAGCUAUAUCUCAGGAAAACGUAAUGCACAAAAACCACAUCCCUAUUUCAGUUACCACAGUGGAUCUUCUGCUGUAGAUGGUGCCUCUCGUGUGGAGGAGAUUGGAGUUCCAGGAUCUGAGCUGGAGAAUCCCCAUUGCUGAACUGUGACUGACAAAGCUUCUGUGAGAGGGACAGUCCAUGGAGGUUUGCAGUGAGCAGGCUUGUAAGUCAGCCGCAAGAGCACCCCUAGAGUAGAGGAUGCUAUACUGUCACUCACUGUGCCUAGGAACAAGAUCUGAAUUUGGUGAAGAGCCUGCUCUCUCUGCCACCUGGAGCUCAAAUGAGAGUUUGUGCUUCUUCCUGUGAUUCACUUAUGGUCUGAUGCAAAGCAUGCUGGGUAUUGGGGGUGGAAAUAGAUACUGUAGUGAUUGAUGCCAUCUGACUCUGGAACAGGGUCACAGAAAUAAUUUUCCCAGCCCUUGACACCUUCAAGAGGGAUCUCCCACUGCCCCUCAAUUAUCUUGUCCUUAUGUCCCAAAGGCUAGCAAGCUAACCAGAUGGUGUCUGCCAUCUUUGUCCUCACUCUGAUGCCUACCUCUAUUCCCAGGGCUUAAAAGUUCACUGUCUGCUUGGUCACCUAAGGGAAUCCUGGUGCUGCUGCUGUAGCAGGAAUCCUGCCCCUCAGUUUCCCCUAAAGAGCUAGAGGAUAAUGUUCUCACUACUCAGGGCAGUAGCAGGAAGCCCUGCUAUCUCUUACCUGCUGCUGUGGAAGAAAUUAUUCCAUAAAACUGCACUUUGCCCUUCUUCAGUCGUUGUCAGUUUGACUCAUCUGCCCAAUUGUUCUCCCCUAUACUACUAACUGUGGUUACUCCAGUGGCUAAUGGAGCUAGGGCCAUUAGUCAGCACAGAUUAGUCCUAAAAAGCUACCCACCCUCCCACUUGUGGCCCUUUAUCCUUCUGUAGAUUUUCUUGGACUUCUUAAGCUCUUCCAAGUUUCACCUGGCUAUUCCUCUCUACAAGUCCUAAAGCCAGCCCAGGUGGGAGCUGUGUAUGCAGAGGGGAAGAAGUGUUAGUGGCUGGAGCUGGAACUUACUGACAUGUGUUUUCACUUUGUCGCCUGUGUCUUACAGCUGUGUCGCCUGUCCUGCAGUCUACCCAAGUCAACACUUAAUCCACCUUCACCUCAUCACCAGAGUAACCUCCCUCUGGGAAGGUGGAAGGUACACAGACGAUGUAAUGCAUGAGGAAGUCUGGCAGGAGAAUGAAUUUGAAGAAUUAGGCAACACUCUGAAACUAAAGAGCCAGCAAGCCUUGAACCAGUGGUGAUAAGUGGGAGUUGUAUAUGAGCAAGAUGAAACUUACUAUGGGUCACAAAGAGAACUGACUGGUGACCACAGUGAAUAAGAACUCAAUGGAUACUUGAGGUUUACUGGAAGAGUAAUGGAGGGUGUGUGGUAGAAAUAUAUUCAUGUAUGAAGAGGUAAUAAUCUGCUAGUAAAGUACAAAUGGAAUCAGUAUAGAGCUAAGACUUGGAUUCGGGCUUUUUUGUUUUUUUGUUUGUCUCAAGAUUUUUCUGUAUUCAAAUGUGAAUCUUUUUAUUACUGAGUAGUAUUCUACAGUACAGAUCUAC